AGUAAAAAAAGAAUUAAAACAGACGUGGCGGGUGUGUCACAUGUGCAUCGGUAGGUGGCAGAGAGGAGAGGAAUAUGUCUAUGUUCAAUAUUCUCACCUAUGAAUAUCUAAAUGAUUAGCAUCCUAACAUU